ensembl:lncRNA
GGUGCUGUAUAUUGCUGUGGGCUGCUGUGUAUUGCCGUGUGUCCUGUCAGAUAAACCCCCGCCUUCACGCACUUCGUCGCGGGAGGACAAGGAGACUGCUGGUCCUAGCCUAGUUCAGUAUAGUAUAUGUUGUGAGCGUGCUUCAGAUCUCCGGAGAUAGCACAGUACGCUGUGUCCAGCCCAGAGGUGAAAGCCAUCCAAAGCAGAGUAACUGUGCUUUGCGUCCAAGUUGAUACCUGUGGAGAGGAAAGGAAAGAGAGAGUGAGUAACACAAGGAGAAACAGAGCGAACCCUGUACUUACAGUACGCUGUGUCCAGCCCAGAGGUGAGAGCCAUUCAAAGCAAACUAACUGUGCUAUUGUGCCCAAGUUGAUACCUGUGGAGAGAAAAGGAGAGAGAGUGGGUAACACGAGGAGAGAUCGAGGAAACCUGUACUUACGCCGCUGCCUGUGGAGAGAAAAGGAAAGAGAGAGUGAGUAACACAAGGAGAAACAGAGGAAACCUGUACUUACAGUACGCUGUGUUCAGCCCAGAGGUGAAAGCCAUCCAAAGCAGAGUAACUGUGCUUUGCGUCCAAGUUGAUACCUGUGGAGAGGAAAGGAAAGAGAGAGUGAAUAACACGAGGAGGAAUAGAGCGAACCCUGUACUUACAGUACGCUGUGUCCAGCCCAGAGGUGAGAGCCAUUCAAAGCAAACUAACUGUGCUAGUGUGCCCAAGUUGAUGCCUGUGGAGAGAAAAAGGAGAGAGAGUGGGUAACACGAGGAGAGACCGAGGAAACCUGUACUUACGCCGCUGCCUGUGGAGAAAGAGAAAGCGAGUGAGCACCCAAGGAACGAACUGUGUGAACCAGUACUUACUGUGAGCUGUAAUCAGCGAAGAGGUGAGAGCAAAACCAAGCUGAACUAACUGUGCCUGUGUGUCCCAGCCGUUGCCUGUGGAGAAAGAGAAAGAGAGUGAGCACCCAGAGAACGAACUGUGUGAACC